GUUUGCUGCCCCUGGCUGGAAGUUUGGUUCAACAUUUAACAUAAGUAAAACUUGUGUAUAAUAAGUGCCUAAAUCAAUUGUUUGUAAUAUAUUUGAAUGUUUAUUAAUUAAUUAAUAUCCAACUAGUACAUGUUUAACAUAAUUAACAGUGUAACAACAAUUCAUAACAAAAUUAAUCUGAAAGAAAAAUACUACAAGGAUUAUCAGAGAAUCUGUACAGUAACUAAACAGAAAUGAUGAUCUGUUGAUGUUUUUGAAGAGGACUGUUCUCCAAAAUCAUGACUAUGUUCCACAACAAAUUGGACCUUAUCCCUUAGUACCUAUGUUGUAAAUACUGUGAAUAUUGUAAUUCAUUUAAAUUUAAUUUUCUACUUGUCCACUUACAAAAAAUUAUUCA